AACGAACGCUGGCGGCAGGCUUAACACAUGCAAGUCGAACGCCCACUUCGGUGGGAGUGGCAGACGGGUGAGUAACGCGUGGAAACAUACCUUUUGCUUCGGAAUAUUCCCGGGAAACUGGGAGCAAUACCGAAUGUGCCCUGAGGGGGAAAGAUUUAUCGGCAAAAGAUUGGUCCGCGUUAGAUUAGGUAGUUGGUAGGGUAAAGGCCUACCAAGCCUACGAUCUAUAGCUGGUCUGAGAGGAUGAUCAGCCACAUUGGGACUGAGACACGGCCCAAACUCCUACGGGAGGCAGCAGUGGGGAAUAUUGGACAAUGGGCGCAAGCCUGAUCCAGCCAUGCCGCGUGAAUGAUGAAGGCCUUAGGGUUGUAAAAUUCUUUCACCGGGGACGAUAAUGACGGUACCCGGAGAAGAAGCCCCGGCUAACUUCGUG
rnacentral:rRNA from 1 species